GACCUGGUGGUGUAGUGGCCACACACCUCCUUUGAGCGAAUGUGAAAUAUUCCCGAUAAGUAAGCAGGAGAUCUUCGUUCGAUUCGGGGUCAGGUCA